rnacentral:rRNA from 1 species
CUGGAACUGAGACACGGGACCAGACUUCUACGGAAGGCAGCAGUGAGGAAUAUUGGUCAAUGGAGGAAACUCUGAACCCAGCUAUGUCGCGUGUAAGGAUGACAGUCUUUUAGACUGUAAACUACUUUUUACAUAGGAAUAAAAGUUACUACGGGAUGGUAACCUGAAGGUCUUCAUGCGAAUAAGUGUCGGCUAAUUUCGUGCCAGCAGCCGCGGUAAUACGAAAGACACAAGCGUUAUCCGGAUUUAUUGGGUUUAAAGGGUGUGUACGUUGUUUAUUAAGUCAGUAGUGAAAGCUUACAGCUUAACUGUAAAAUUGCUAUUGAUACUGAUAAUCUUCCCGUAAGAUUGGAGCAUCUGGAAUGUAUGGUGUAGCGGUGAAAUGCAUAGAUAUCAUACAGAACACCAAUAGCGAAGGCAGGAUGCUAAAUCUUCACUGACGCUGAGGCACGAAAGCGUGGGUAGCAAACAGGAUUAGAUACCCUGGUAGUCUACGCCCUAAACGAUGAUCACUAGCUAUUGGAAAAAUUAUAUUCAGUGGCCAAGCUAAAGCGAUAAGUGAUCCACCUGGGAAGUACGAUCGCAAGAUUGAAACUCAAAGGAAUUGACGGGGUUUCGCACAAGCGGUGGAGCAUGUGGUUUAAUUCGAUGAUACGCGAGGAACCUUACCAAGGUUUAAAUGUAUUACGAAUAAGCUGGAAACAACUUAGUCUAUAAGACGUAAUACAAGGUGCUGCAUGGUUGUCUUCAGUUCGUGCUGUGAAGUGUUUGGUUAAGUCCUAUAACGAGCGCAACCCCUAUUGUUAGUUGCCAUCGGGUAAAGCCGGGGACUCUAACAAAACUGCCGGUGUAAAUCGUGAGGAAGGUG